UACGUAGGGGGCAAGCGUUGUCCGGAAUCAUUGGGCGUAAAGCGCGUGUAGGCGGCCCGGUAAGUCCGCUGUGAAAGUCCAGGGCUCAACCCUGGAAUGCCGGUGGAUACUGUCGGGCUCGAGUCCGGAAGAGGCGAGUGGAAUUCCUGGUGUAGCGGUGAAAUGCGCAGAUAUCAGGAGGAACACCGGUGGCGAAGGCGGGUCUCUGGGCCGAUACUGACGCUGAGGAGCGAAAGCGUGGGGAGCAAACAGG
rnacentral:rRNA from 1 species